rnacentral:rRNA from 1 species
UGCCAGCCGCCGCGGUAAUACGGAGGAUCCAAGCGUUAUCCGGAAUCAUUGGGUUUAAAGGGUCCGUAGGCGGUCUGGUAAGUCAGAGGUGAAAUCCUGCAGCUCAACUGUAGCAUUGCCUUUGAUACUGCCAGACUUGAGUUAUUGUGAAGUAGUUAGAAUGUGUAGUGUAGCGGUGAAAUGCAUAGAUAUUACACAGAAUACCGAUUGCGAAAGCAGAUUACUAACAAUAUACUGACGCUGAGGGACGAAAGCGUGGGUAGCGAACAGGAUUAGAUA